CGUCAAAUCAUCAUGCCCCUUAUGAGCAGGGCUACACACGUGCUACAAUGGCGUAAACAAAGGGAAGCGACCCCGCGAGGGCAAGCAAAUCUCAAAAAUAGCGUCACAGUUCGGAUUGUAGUCUGCAACUCGACUAUAUGAAGCCGGAAUCGCUAGUAAUCGCGAAUCAGCAUGUCGCGGUGAAUACGUUCCCGGGUCUU
rnacentral:rRNA from 1 species